rnacentral:lncRNA from 1 species
UAUUUGAAGUGAUAUUCAAAUUAUUAUGUAUUAUUAUAGUAGAUUUAUUAUUUUGUUGUUGCUUAAUAAUUGUCUUAAUGGAUAUAUGUGGUUUUACGGGAUGAUUGUGAGUAUGAUACAAUUUUCUUAUGGAGUUGUAUUUUAUGUUGUGGUACCCGGUGAAGCUUUUGGAAGUGUGGUGGAAGUAGCACUGAUACUUGUUCGGUGAAGCUCUUUGUGAAUAGAGUGGUAGGGUGUAUACUUGUCCGGUGAAGCCCAAGAGGAUGGUGGAAAGUAUAUACUUGCCCGGGGAAGCUCUAAGAGAGUGGUGGGAAGUGGUGUACUUGCCGGUGAAGCCUUCUAGAGAGUGGUGGGAGAUGUCAUUGUGUAAGGAUAUGGUAAAGUGUACUGGCCCAGUGAGAGUGGUGGGGGGUGACACUUAAGUAACCGAUUGUGAUUCAAUUAUUGUGGUGAAUGGUUUCAAAAAAUUAGGUAUGAGUUAGUGAGUGACUGAGUGAGUCGGAGCGUGAUUUGGUUACUUUGAUGAAAUAAUUGUAUGAUUAUAUGUGGGUGAUUUUGAUUUCUGAUAGUGUAGUUGUUAAUGCACUUGUCGACCUGGGUUCAACAAACUUCACCAAACUAAUGCACUUGUCGACCUGGG